GCCAGUGGAAGUCACUCACAACCCUAUCCUAGCAACCAGCAAGGUACCCACACUACGUCACAAUUAGUCCUUUAUGACUUUUCCCUAACACCUUACAAACACCAUCGACUGAUUUUUCUGUCUUGCUGUGGCAUAAGUUAGUGAGUACACCAUUCGCCCCUCCCACUCAGGAUGCAGUUGGUUGUUUCACCACCACCACAAACAAGGGUGCUGUUGAGGGUAGCUGUACCCUUCUAUCCUGUAUGAAUGUCAUGGAAGCUGAAGGGUCGCUGAGUGGAAAGGAGCAACUCUUUUCUUCUCUGCAUUCCCACUUCCCUGCGAAUCUCAUCCUGCUCCAUUAUUUCCUGCUCAAGGGAUGCACGUGAUCUCAUCAACUGGGGCUUUUUACAAGCCUCACGCAGAGUCAUCUUGAAGGGCUGAGGGAUGGUGAUAGUAGAGACCCAGGCAGAUGCAGCAGUCUUUGGCCUCAG